ensembl:lncRNA
CUUUCUCCAAGUGGUUUCUUUUCCUCACAGAAUCCAUGAAAUGAUGAUCACUUCCUAUAUUUAUUUUACCGUUAUUUAACUAGGCAAGUCAGUUAAGAACAAAUUCUUAUUUUCAAUGACAGCCUAGGAACAGUGGGUUAACUGCCUUGUUCUGCCUUCAGGGGCAGAACAACCUUGUCAGCUUGGGGGGUUUGACCUUGCAACCUUCCAGUGACUAGUCCAACUGCUCUAACCACUAGGCUACCCAGCCACCCCCGAUCUCUCCCUAUACAUUUCGUCACAUUAUUUAUUGUUGUGUAUGGUUGCCUAGAAACAACAGGUAACUCAACUUACGCCACUCUUCGCAACACCAACCAACAGAGAGCAAGUGUCCUGUCACCAGAGUGUCACCAAUAAAUGGUCAGUGGUAAAUAUCAGUGACAGACUUUAGCAUUUAUCUGGGAGUGAAGUUUUCAGGGACUCCCGCAUGACGAAGAUAACUCUUACAGAUGGACGUUCAAUAUUUUUCACAAUAAUUGAUAAAGCGUUCAUUUUACAGAUGCUCAGAUGGGUUUGAGGGGGGCCUCAGUCCUGCCAUAAAACAUCAUACUACUAACAAAGCCAACAAAUGUGUCCAAUGACACAAAAAAAAGUCAAGAAUUCCUUUUACAUCCUUGUCUUCAAAAAAAAAAAAAAAAAAAAAAAAAAAAAAAAAAAACAGCUAUCUGCAUGAGAACUCUUCUAGGAACAGCUAGGAUCCUCAUUAUGUUUAUUUAAAUACACCAAUUAGAUUUGAGCACACAGAUGUCAGUCGGGCACAUCUCCAACUCAUUUACUUUAUUCACGUAUUGAUUUUAAUUACAAAUUCAUAUUACCAGUUGCAUCUGCAGCAUAAUUCGUGAUGUGUCAUUCCAUUUAUUUUUAUGCAAAAGUUUGGACAAUGAUGGAUGCAACCCGAAGAGGAUUUGGAGACGUGUCACUGUACUAGGAGAGUGUACUGCCCUCUAGUGGUUAACAGUGGAACUUCAGCCUCUUCUCACCAGUCAGGGUGAUGGAGAAGGAAACAUUCUUUGCUGAUAGAAAUAUGCUGAGGACUACAUGUCUCUCUGCUGAUAGGACUAUAACAGGAUAUAAUGAGGACUACAUGUCUCUCUGCUGAUAGGACUAUAACAGGACAUAAUGAGGACUACAUGUCUCUCUGCUGAUAGGACUAUAACAGGAUAUAAUGAGGACUACAUGUCUCUCUGCUGAUAGGACUAUAACAGGAUAUAAUGAG